ensembl:lncRNA
UGAUGGGCAGAAAUUGUGGUUUAAGAUGGCUUUUUACUGUAUUCCAGAAUGGGUUAAUUUUUUCCUAACUACUUGUGUCUUUCCUCUUGCUUUAUGCAGCCUUGCCUUUACAGGCAAGUGAUAACUUUAGGGUCAAUUACUCUGUUAUCCAAUGAGUGAUAAGACAUCAGUGUUGAUUUUUCUGUCUGUAAGGGAUUUUCAUGGGAAAGAAGAAAACCCAUCAUGUCAGGUGAUUCUUCAAAGGACCCAGUGUGAACACAGGCUCAGAGAAGCCCUGCUGUCACUGCAGCACGCUUAUUUUGAAGAUAAGUGUGAAUCAGCAUGCUGUUCUUAUAGGCAAAGAAGUAGCAGCAAGAAAUCUCAGACUAUGCAAGAGGAUCAUGACCUGGCAAUCAGAGGAUUUCUGCACUGAUCCAAGCCAGAAAAAUGCUACUUUGCUUGGUGGACACUUCCCAUGGAUUUCUUACACAUCCACAUCCAAGGAGUGGAUCUAUCUGUCACGCACACCAAGCUGCUAACGCCCGUGUGGUCUUGGUAGGAAAAUGCAAAGGAAAUCCAAAAGUGCUGGCCUUGACUCCCUUCCUCACUGUCCUUCCAUACCUGCUCUGCCUUGGCUUUGUGCCCUGCUCCCUCCCUAGCGCUCUUAUCUCCCACUGAACCUGAGAAACAAAUGCUUGUGGAAGCUAAGUCGUCCCCAGCUGUUCGCUCUGUUCCUGAGCUCCCUUCCUCCCUCUCAUUCCUUUUGGAUCUGUUUCUAAACUUUUUGGGGCAGCAACUACUUUUCUGCAUGCAACAUCAAUGGACACUGUUCUUGGCUGGCCUCAAGGCACAACUGGAAUAAAUGUGAAUAACAACAACAGUG